rnacentral:rRNA from 1 species
GAUGAACGCUGACAGAAUGCUUAACACAUGCAAGUCAACUUGAACUUCGGUUUGGGUGGCGGACGGGUGAGUAACGCGUAAAGAACUUGCCUCACAGAUAGGGACAACAUUUGGAAACGAAUGCUAAUACCUGAUAUUAUGAUUUUAGGGCAUCCUAGGAUUAUGAAAGCUAUAUGCGCUGUGAGAGAGCUUUGCGUCCCAUUAGCUAGUUGGCGAGGUAACGGCUCACCAAGGCGAUGAUGGGUAGCCGGCCUGAGAGGGUGAUCGGCCACAAGGGGACUGAGACACGGCCCUUACGCAUACGGGAGGCAGCAGUGGGGAAUAUAGGACAAUGGACCAAGAGUCUGAUCCAGCAAUUCGGUUUGCACGAUGAAGUUUUUCGGGAUGUAAAGUGCUUUCAGUUGGGAAGAAAAAAAUGACGGUACCAACAGAAGAAGUGACGGCUAAAUACGUG